rnacentral:rRNA from 1 species
GAGUUUGAUCGUGGCUCAGAGCGAACGUUAGCGGCACGCCUAACACAUGCAAGUCGCACGAGAAGGGGGCAACCCCUGAAAGUGGCGCACGGGUGCGUAACACGUAGAUAACCUGCCCUGAAGAGGGGGAGUAACGUUCCGAAAGGAGCGCUAAUACCGCAUAACGCUGCGAGUGGUUUGCCACUUGCGGACAAAGGUAGGGACCGGCAACGGCCUAUCGCUUCAGGAGGGGUCUGCGGCCCAUCAGCUAGUUGGCGAGGUAAUGGCUCACCAAGGCAGAGACGGGUAGCUGGUCUGAGAGGAUGAUCAGCCACACUGGUACUGGAACACGGACCAGACUCCUACGGGAGGCAGCAGUGGGGAAUCUUGGUCAAUGGGCGCAAGCCUGAACCAGCGAUGCCGCGUGAGUGAUGAAGGCCUUCGGUUGU